GCAUAGAUAUUACACAGAAUACCGAUUGCGAAGGCAGAUCACUAAUACCUAUAUUGACGCUGAUGGACGAAAGCGUAGGUAGCGAACAGGAUUAGAUACCCUGGUAGUCUACGCCGUAAACGAUGGUUACUAGCUGUCCGGCCUAAUUGAGGGCUGGGUGGUUAAGCGAAAGUGAUAAGUAACCCACCUGGGGAGUACGUUCGCAAGAAUGAAACUCAAAGGAAUUGACGGGGGCCCGCACAAGCGGUGGAGCAUGUGGUUUAAUUCGAUGAUACGCGAGGAACCUUACCAGGGCUUAAAUGCAGUCUGACGUAUCUGGAAACAGAUAUUUCUUCGGACAGAUUGCAAGGUGCUGCAUGGUUGUCGUCAGCUCGUGCCGUGAGGUGUCAGGUUAAGUCCUAUAACGAGCGCAACCCCUGUGGUUAGUUGCCAGCGAGUAAUGUCGGGAACUCUAGCCAGACUGCCGGUGCAAACCGUGAGGAAGGUGGGGAUGACGUCAAAUCAUCACGGCCCUUACGUCCUGGGCCACACACGUGCUACAAUGGUAGGGACAGAGAGCAGCCACUUCGCGAGAAGGAGCGAAUCUAUAAACCCUAUCACAGUUCGGAUCGUAGUCUGCAACUCGACUACGUGAAGCUGGAAUCGCUAGUAAUCGCAUAUCAGCCAUGAUGCGGUGAAUACGUUCCCGGGCCUUGUACACACCGCCCGUCAAGCCAUGGAAGCCGGGGGUACCUGAAGUCCGUUACCGCAAGGAGCGGCCUAGGGUAAAACUGGUAACUGGGGCUAAGUCGUAACAAGGUAGCCGUACCGGAAGGUGCGGCUGGAUCACCUCCUUUCU
rnacentral:rRNA from 1 species